GAUAGGUGGACUGGCUCCGGCUUUUUGCCUGUUGUUAUGGAAACUUAGUCUCUGCGUGCGUUGUGAUCCCACAGAUCUGUGUAUUGAAACUCUGAUACUUGACUGACGAAUGUAUUCUACUUUAUCUUAUCGUCUUAUUUGGCUCUUGCUUAGGAUCAAUGUAAUUCCAAUUUAAUGAAUGCGCAGGGAUAUAUAGGUCUUUUAUUUGGAGUCAGACACAUUGUCCCAAAAGGGGGGACACAGAGGAGGAAAUCCCCAACAUCAGUUAGCUAAAGUGGGAGUGCAGGUGUUCACUGGGCGUCCGCCCAGAGCAGAAGAGGACCAGACCAUAUAAUAUGUCACAGUGACACAAUUCAGCAACGUGUCCACAGAGAUGCCUGGGCCAGUUUUUUUGUGUCACAGGUGAUGAAGCAGCUCCCUGGAGAUGUGACACGUCAGCUUAUUGCGUUGACAGCACUACUCUGUUUGAGUGCUACAUUUUGGCCGCUGAGGACCCAAGCAUACCAUCACCACCUACAGCCCUGGCCAGACCUGAGUUCAGCAGUGAGAUGGCGGUAUGAAUGUCUGUACCCGUUGCUCUUGACUGUCUGGUGGAAAUCUGAAGCGGGAACCAGAGGGAAGUAGGUGAAACUCUGAGGGAAGGGGGUGGACACUGAUCAACAGAAUGGAUUUUGCUUUUUGAAUCACUUGUCUAUUGUACAGGUCUAUUGUAAAGGUCAGUGAGGUUAUUUUGUUGAACACCAAGGAUUUUGCUACAAAUCAUGUCAUCUAAGUGAA